rnacentral:snoRNA from 1 species
ACCCCUUGGCAAUGGGCAAGGAGACACCUGAUUGGUGGUGUUGCUCUUAUAUCAUCAGUCAGGGGCAAAGCAGAUGUACAGUCCUUAGUUCAUCCUAGCUUGAUGCCUGUGUCGGUGGCCAGAGCUAUUUCAUUCCUGAGGCACAUAA